rfam:Haemonchus contortus, ISE/inbred ISE, WGS project CAVP01000000 data, contig: Hcontortus_31497
GGCCCAAAUCUGAAGUAAGAUGGAUUAGUAAAGUCAGCUGAUCCUACUAUUCUAAUGUACUUCGAAAUUGGGCCC